rnacentral:rRNA from 1 species
UACGUAGGAGACGAGCGUUGUCCGGAGUUACUGGGCGUAAAGGGUGCGCAGGUGGCGGCGCGCGUGGGGGGUGAAAUCGCCCGGCUUAACUGGGCGGGGGGCCUUCCAGACGGCGUGGCUUGAGCAGCGGAGGGGGGACGUGGAAUUCCGGGUGGAGCGGUGAAAUGCGUAGAGAUCCGGAGGAACACCGACGGCGCAGGCAGCGUCCUGACCG